UCCAGACUCCUACGGGAGGCAGCAGUGGGGGAUAUUGCACAAUGGGGGGAACCCUGAUGCAGCGACGCCGCGUGGGUGAAGGAGCGUUUCGGCGCGUAAAGCCCUAUCGGCAGGGAAGAAGGAGGACGGUACCUGACUAAGAAGCCCCGGCUAACUACGUGCCAGCAGCCGCGGUAAUACGUAGGGGGCAAGCGUUAUCCGGAUUUACUGGGUGUAAAGGGGGCGCAGACGGCAGCGCAAGCCAGGAGUGAAAGCCCGGGGCCCAACCCCGGGACUGCUCUUGGAACUGCGCGGCUGGAGUGCAGGAGGGGCAGGCGGAAUUCCUGGUGUAGCGGUGAAAUGCGUAGAUAUCAGGAGGAACACCGGUGGCGAAGGCGGCCUGCUGGACUGCGACUGACGUUGAGGCCCGAAAGCGUGGGGAGCAAACAGGAUUAGAUACCCCCGUAAAG
rnacentral:rRNA from 1 species